rnacentral:rRNA from 1 species
GAGAGGUAACGGCUCACCAAGGCAUCGACGGGUAGCUGGUCUGGGAGGAUGAUCAGCCACACUGGAACUGAGACACGGUCCAGACUCCUACGGGAGGCAGCAGGAGGGAAUAUUGCGCAAUGGGCGAAAGCCUGACGCAGCAACGCCGCGUGAGGGAUGACUGCCUUCGGGUUGUAAACCUCUUUCAGUGGGGACGAAAUUGACGGUACCCACAGAAGAAGCACCGGCCAACUACGUGCCAGCAGCCGCGGUAAUACGUAGGGUGCAAGCAUUGUCCGGAUUUAUUGGGCGUAAAGAGCUCGUAGGCGGCUUAACAAGUCGGCCGUGAAAUACCGAGGCUCAACCUCGGGGAGUCGGUCGAAACUGUUAUAGCUAGAGUACGGUAGAGGAGAGUGGAAUUCUCGGUGUAGCGGUGGAAUGCGCAGAUAUCGAGAGGAACACCAGUAGCGAAGGCGGCUCUCUGGGCCGUUACUGACGCUGAGGAGCGAAAGCGUGGGGAGCAAACAGGAUUAGAUACCCUGGUAGUCCACGCUGUAAACGUUGGGAACUAGGUGUUGCGGUCUGAUCAAUGACUGCGGUGCCGAAGCUAACGCAUUAAGUU